rnacentral:tRNA from 1 species
UGCCGAUGUGGCGGAACUGGCAGACGCGCUGGACUCAAAAUCCAGUGCCCAUUGCGGGCGUAUCGGUUCGACCCCGAUCAUCGGCAU